CCUACGGGCGGCAGCAGUGGGGAAUAUUGCGCAAUGGGCGAAAGCCUGACGCAGCGACGCCGCGUGAGGGAUGAAGGCCUUCGGAUCGUAAACCUCUGUCAGCAGGGAAGAACGGUCACUGUGCUAAUCAGCAGUGAAUUGACGGUACCUGCAAAGGAAGCACCGGCUAACUCCGUGCCAGCAGCCGCGGUAAUACGGAGGGUGCGAGCGUUAAUCGGAAUUACUGGGCGUAAAGCGCUCGUAGGCGGUAUGUCAAGUCAAGGGUGAAAUCCCCGCGCUCAACGUGGGAACUGCCUUUGAAACUGGCAAACUGGAGUGUGUGAGAGGAUAGUGGAAUUCCAGGUGUAGGAGUGAAAUGCGUAGAUAUCUGGAGGAACAUCAGUGGCGAAGGCGACUAUCUGGCACAUAACUGACGCUGAGGAGCGAAAGCGUGGGUAGCAAACAGGAUUAGAUACCCCAGUAGUC
rnacentral:rRNA from 1 species